rnacentral:lncRNA from 1 species
CAAGACUAAGUCGGUCUAUUCAAACUUAAAAUUAGAAUCAAUCUUUUUAUGGUCUUAACUUACAGGUUUAAUAACAAGAUUUUUUACAAAAGUAAAAGACAUAAAGAAGUUGAAACCAACAGAGCGAGAGUUUGAGGUUUUAACUGGACAGUGUAAGUUAGUCAUUAAGUCUAUCUCAGGGCGAGAGCAAGUUUUAGAAUUAAUUAAAUUCUGACCUUUUUCCAAAAAGUAUUUUUAAAGAUUGAAUGUGAGGACGAGAGUUAAGCAUUUAGAUUUAAUUGUAUAACCUAAGUCAACAGAGCGAGAGUUUGAG